CUCCGACAGGAGCACUAGGUCGACUGCUCCGUGCCAUAGUUGGGUCAAGGUUGACACUGUAGGCGACAAACGUCUUCCUGGGCGCCCCAAAGCUGACACCCGAAAAUCCCUGCGGUUUUUCUACCCUGGAUACCGCCGAUCCCCUUGCGCUCACCCGUUUCUCCCCGGGGCCUGACCCGGCCCGCUGGCCCCGCCCAUUCGCAAUGGCGCUCUCGGCACAACCAUGCUAGCCAGCAACGCCCCGGAAUCUCCCUCCGCCGACGCCCCGCACCCGAGCCCAGAGGGAGACGGCCUUCGCCUGCCACCCACGACAGCUGUCCCGCCACCGGGAGCAGGGCCUGGGAGGGCUUGAGUACCCUAGUCCCUGAGUCCAGGAUCAGGGCGGAGGACCAGAAACUCGGGCUCCGUGGACUCAGCUUGCUGGGCAGAAAGUGACUUAAAUUCCGGGGCUGGCGCUUUUCAGGAUCCUCCAAUCCGGGCACCCUGUGCCAGGUACUGUGCGGAGGAGGGGGAGGGAAGAGGGGUUUCCCCAAUUUACGAUGAGGAACUUGGGGCUCAGAGAGGGACAGAACUUGUCUAAUUGCACCCAGCAGUUGGUGACAGAGGCACGAUUCCACCCCAAUUCCACAAAGGCCUGAGGUACUUACCCUGUAUCUGUACUGGAGAAGUCAGUCUCUGGGGCUCAGAAACAUAAACAGCCAAGGGAGAGUGAGGUCCCCGGAACUCCACGAUGGGGAGGCUCACCUCAGCAGCAGCAGGGCCCACUCCUCCCGACCGGGGAAACGGAUUUGCUGAGCAUCGCCCUCGGAGAGCUGUGCAGUGAGGCCAAGCUCGCAGGCACAGAGAAAGCUGCCUUGAGUGGAGCCAGACAGGAGAGAGGUGGACAGUGGGUAGGCACUGGAAACUCACCUGUUAGGUCCAUGGCGUCGUCAGAUGUGAAGAAUAAAGCCAUAGAGAGGACACCUCUCUCUCUUGCUGUGGCCACCAGUGAAGAUGGUCACACGGGUCAGCUGCAGCCAGCAAGGGAAGCCCCGAUUCCAGGCAUCCAAACCUGGCAACGUUCUGAUUAGCAGCUGGGUGUCUCACUGCCUGGAAUGCAGGCGCUUGGGGUCCGGGCCUCAGCUGUUCUGCUGCCACUGGAACACACCAGGUGCUCAGCAAGAUGGGAACAGGAGCAACAACUCUCACACCUGCAGGCCCCGGGCUACCACACCACCUGUUCAGGAGACAGCCCGAUCUGGAGGGUAUGGCUUCCCUCUAACCAGAGGAAAGCCAAGACAGGGCUGGCUGAGAGCCAGCGUUCUCAUUAGCCCUCACCUUGCUGACUGCCCUGACACCGGAGGGAAGCCAGGCAGAGGCCAUGAAGCUGCCAGGCUGUUGGAGCCAACCCAACCACCCAGUGGCCCAACUCCGGGUCAGGAAACAGCCACUGUCCUGAGGGCUGUGCCCAGACGAAGGAACAGACAGUAUAUUGCUGCGUGAUUUUAUUACUAUAAAUAUACAGUAAAAACAAACGGGCCCAUGUGAGCACAUCAAAUGGCA